rnacentral:rRNA from 1 species
CAGUAGCCGCGGUAAUACGUAGGUGGCAAGCGUUGUCCGGAAUUAUUGGGCGUAAAGGGCUCGCAGGCGGUUUCUUAAGUCUGAUGUGAAGGCCCCCGGCUCGACCGGGGAGGGUCAUUGGAAACUGGGAAACUUGAGUGCAGAAGAGGAGAGUGGAAUUCCACGUGUAGCGGUGAAAUGCGUAGAGAUGUGGAGGAACACCAGUGGCGAAGGCGACUCUCUGGUCUGUAACUGACGCUGAGGAGCGAAAGCGUGGGGAGCGAACAGGAUUAGAUACCCCCGUAGUCCCUGUCUCUUAUAC